GAAACUUCUCGAGAAGAAAUCAAUGAAACCACAUUUCGGAAAUACAAGCAACUCUAUCUAAAAGAAUUGAAAAUUAGAAAAUUGUCAUACAAAAAACUAAGAGAAAUUCAUCAGAAUCUAACAGAAGACACUGCUGAUUUGCUUGAUGAAAAAAAGAGUAACAGAUCUUGAUGUAUCACUCUUGCCAUAAGCUGCUUCUGAAUAUGCAUCUGGAUUCGACAUAUCUUCUCCUUUAAUCAUAUGAUGUGUUAAAUGUAAACCAAGUUCUAGUUGGAAAAGCACAUGAGAA